rnacentral:rRNA from 1 species
GACGGAGGAUGCAAGCGUUAUCCGGAAUUAUUGGGCGUAAAGCGUCCGCAGGUGGCACCUCAAGUCUGCUGUCAAAGACCGGGGCUUAACCCCAGAAAGGCAGUGGAAACUGAAGUGCUAGAGUGCAGUAGGGGUAGAGGGAAUUCCCGGUGUAGCGGUGAAAUGCGUAGAGAUCGGGAAGAACAUCGGUGGCGAAAGCGCUCUGCUGGACUGCAACUGACACUCAGGGACGAAAGCUAGGGGAGCGAAUGGG